rnacentral:tmRNA from 1 species
GGGGCUGUAAUGGCUUCGACAUCCUGAAGAAAACUGUCCACGCAGGCUGGGAGUGAGUCCGAAUCCCAAUAAAUCAGGCUCAAAAACAAUAAGUGCGAACAACAUCGUUCCCUUUUCCCGCGCUCGCGUAGCUCUCGCUGCGUAACAAAACCGGGGCUUACAUUUGGACCCACGACGGGUGUAGGCAAUGCAGUGGGUGCUCUGGAGACCGUCCUCUGUCGCGUAACCAGUUAAGAUUUGACAGUGAAUCCCGCUAACUGGGACAAAGUUAGUUCCCGCUGCUUGGGUCAAUGCAGCCAAGCCUGUGGAUGAGUGGUAGGUAAGUAGGCACGGGUGGACAGGGGUUCGACUCCCCUCAGCUCCAUAU